UGACAAUGUGAUUCAGCUGAGUGAGUUGACAAUGUGAUUCAGCUGAGUGAUGGGACAAUGGGAUUCAGCUGAGUGAUGGGACAAUGGAAUUCAGCUGAGUGAUGUGACAAUGGGAUUCAGCUGAGUGAGUUGACAAUGGAAUUCAGCUGAGUGAUGUGACAAUGGGAUACAUCUGAGUGUUGAGACAAUGGGAUUCAGCUGAGUGAGUUGACAAUGGAAUUCAGCUGAGUGAUUUGACAAUGGGAUUCAGCUGAGUGAUUGGACAGUGGAAUUCAGCUGAGUGAUGGGACAGUGGGAUUCAGCUAAGUGAUGUGACAAUCGGAUUCAACUGGGUGAUGUGACAAUCGGAUUCAACUGGGUGAUGUGACAGUGGUAUUCAGUUGAGUUAGCAAUUGAUCUGUUUUAUUGAUUUGUGUGAAUUGACAUUUGCAUGACAAGUCAGAUAUAUAUAUCCGUGUUAAUAUCGGUGACUCUUUUUAAAGUGGUAAUACAGGUGAUUAAUAUUA